ACCCGGCUGGCUCGGUCAGAAGAGUGUGCGACUCUUGAUCUCGGGGUUGUGGGUUCGAGCCCCAUGUUGGGUG
rnacentral:tRNA from 1 species